CUACGGGAGGCAGCAGCGGGGAAUAUUGCACAAUGGGCGCAAGCCUGAUGCAGCCAUGCCGCGUGUGUGAAGAAGGCCUUCGGGUUGUAAAGCACUUUUGUCCGGAAAGAAAUCCCUGGCUCUAAUACAGUCGGGGGAUGACGGUACCGGAAGAAUAAGCACCGGCUAACUACGUGCCAGCAGCCGCGGUAAU
rnacentral:rRNA from 1 species